UGUCUUGAGUUAGUUGAGGUAGCUGGAAUGAGUAGUGUAGCGGUGAAAUGCAUAGAUAUUACUCAGAACACCGAUUGCGAAGGCAGGUUACCAAGUUAUAACUGACGCUGAGGGACGAAAGCGUGGGGAGCGAACAGGAUUAGAUACCCUGGUAGUCCACGCCGUAAACGAUGCUAACUCGUUUUUGGGCUUUAGGGUUCAGAGACUAAGCGAAAGUGAUAAGUUAGCCACCUGGGGAGUACGACCGCAAGGUUGAAACUCAAAGGAAUUGACGGGGGCCCGCACAAGCGGUGGAUCAUGUGGUUUAAUUCGAUGAUACGCGAGGAACCUUACCAAGGCUUAAAUGGGAAUUGACAGCUGUAGAAAUACGGUUUUCUUCGGACAAUUUUCAAGGUGCUGCAUGGUUGUCGUCAGCUCGUGCCGUGAGGUGUUAGGUUAAGUCCUGCAACGAGCGCAACCCCUGUCACUAGUUGCCAUCAUUAAGUUGGGGACUCUAGUGAGACUGCCUACGCAAGUAGCGAGGAAGGUGGGGAUGACGUCAAAUCAUCACGGCCCUUACGCCUUGGGCCACACACGUGAUACAAUGGCCGGUACAGAGGGCAGCUACACUGCGAAGUGAUGCAAAUCUCGAA
rnacentral:rRNA from 1 species